ensembl:rRNA 5S_rRNA 5S ribosomal RNA
GUCUACAGCCAUACCACCCUGAACACGCCCAAUCUCAUCUGAUCACGGAAGCUAAGCAGGGUCCGGCCUGGUUAGUACUUGGAUGGGAGAUAAUGAAAACAAAAAAGUCC